rnacentral:rRNA from 1 species
CUGCGGAGGGAUCAUUACACAACAAAAUAUGAAGGCCUGGCUUCGCGGCCGGCUGAAAUAUUUUUUUCACCCAUGUCUUUUGCGCACUUGUUGUUUCCUGGGCGGGUUCGCCCGCCACCAGGACCAAACCAUAAACCUUUUUUUUAUGCAGUUGCAAUCAGCGUCAGUAAAAACAAUGUAAUUAUUACAACUUUCAACAACGGAUCUCUUGGUUCUGGCAUCGAUGAAGAACGCAGCGAAAUGCGAUACGUAGUGUGAAUUGCAGAAUUCAGUGAAUCAUCGAAUCUUUGAACGCACAUUGCGCCCUUUGGUAUUCCAAAGGGCAUGCCUGUUCGAGCGUCAUUUGUACCUUCAAGCUUUGCUUGGUGUUGGGCGUUUUUUGUCUCCCUCUUUCUGGGAGACUCGCCUUAAAACGAUUGGCAGCCGGCCUACUGGUUUCGGAGCGCAGCACAUAUUUUGCGCUUUGUAUCAGGAGAAAAGGACGGUAAUCCAUCAAGACUCUACAUUUUUAACUUUUGACCUCGGAUCAGGUAGGGAUACCCGCUGAACUUAAGCAUAUCAAUAAGCG